UACGUAGGGCGCAAGCGUUGUCCGGAAUUAUUGGGCGUAAAGAGCUCGUAGGCGGUCUGUUGCGUCCGCUGUGAAAACCCGGGGCUUAACCCCUGGCUUGCAGUGGAUACGGACAGACUAGAGGUAGGUAGGGGAGAAUGGAAUUCCCGGUGUAGCGGUGAAAUGCGCAGAUAUCGGGAGGAACACCGGUGGCGAAGGCGGUUCUCUGGGCCUUACCUGACGCUGAGGAGCGAAAAGCGUGGGGGAGCGAACAGG
rnacentral:rRNA from 1 species